CUCCCGUUGAUCCCGCCGGACCCGACUGCUAUCAGAGUGGGACUAAGCCAUGCGAGUCAACAUAGCAAUAUGUGGCAUACGGCUCAGUAACACGUAGUCAACAUGCCCAGGGGACGUGGAUAACCUCGGGAAACUGAGGAUAAACCGCGAUAAGUCACUACUUCUGGAAUGGGUAAUGACUCAAAUCUACAUGGCCCCUGGAUUGGACUGCGGCCGAUCAGGCUGUUGGUGAGGUAAUGGCCCACCAAACCUGUAACCGGUACGGGCUCCGAGAGGAGGAGCCCGGAGAUGGGCACUGAGACAAGGGCCCAGGCCCUAUGGGGCGCAGCAGGCGCGAAACCUCUGCAAUAGGCGAAAGCCUGACAGGGUUACUCUGAGUGAUUUCCGUUAAGGAGAUCUUUUGGCACCUCUAAAAAUGGUGCAGAAUAAGGGGUGGGCAAGUCUGGUGUCAGCCGCCGCGGUAAUACCAGCACCCCGAGUGGUCGGGACGUUUAUUGGGCCUAAAGCAUCCGUAGCCGGUUCUACAAGUCUUCCGUUAAAUCCACCUGCUUAACAGAUGGGCUGCGGAAGAUACUAUAGAGCUAGGAGGCGGGAGAGGCAAGCGGUACUCGAUGGGUAGGGGUAAAAUCCGUUGAUCCAUUGAAGACCACCAGUGGCGAAGGCGGCUUGCCAGAACGCGCUCGACGGUGAGGGAUGAAAGCUGGGGGAGCAAACCGGAUUAGAUACCCGGGUAGUCCCAGCUGUAAACGAUGCAGACUCGGUGAUGAGUUGGCUUAUUGCUAACUCAGUGCCGCAGGGAAGCCGUUAAGUUUGCCGCCUGGGGAGUACGGUCGCAAGACUGAAACUUAAAGGAAUUGGCGGGGGAGCA
rnacentral:rRNA from 1 species